rnacentral:rRNA from 1 species
UUGUAUAAUGGGUCAGCGACUUAUAUUCUGUAGCAAGGUUAACCGUAUAGGGGAGCCGGAGGGAAACCGAGUCUUAACCGGGCGUUAAGUUGCAGGGUAUAGACCCGAAACCCGGUGAUCUAGCCAUGGGCAGGUUGAAGGUUGGGUAACACUAACUGGAGGACCGAACCGACUAAUGUUGAAAAAUUAGCGGAUGACCUGUGGCUGGGGGUGAAAGGCCAAUCAAACCGGGAGAUAGCUGGUUCUCCCCGAAAGCUAUUUAGGUAGCGCCUCGUGAAUUCAUCUCCGGGGGUAGAGCACUGUUUCGGCUAGGGGGCCAUCCCGGCUUACCAACCCGAUGCAAACUGCGAAUACCGGAGAAUGUUAUCACGGGAGACACACGGCGGGUGCUAACGUCCGUCGUGAAGAGGGAAACAACCCAGACCGCCAGCUAAGGUCCCAAAGUCAUGGUUAAGUGGGAAACGAUGUGGGAAGGCCCAGACAGCCAGGAUGUUGGCUUAGAAGCAGCCAUCAUUUAAAGAAAGCGUAAUAGCUCACUGGUCGAGUCGGCCUGCGCGGAAGAUGUAACGGGGCUAAACCAUGCACCGAAGCUGCGGCAGCGACGCUGAUGCGUUGUUGGGUAGGGGAGCGUUCUGUAAGCCUGCGAAGGUGGCCUGUGAGGGUUGCUGGAGGUAUCAGAAGUGCGAAUGCUGACAUAAGUAACGAUAAAGCGGGUGAAAAGCCCGCUCGCCGGAAGACCAAGGGUUCCUGUCCAACGUUAAUCGGGGCAGGGUGAGUCGACCCCUAAGGCGAGGCCGAAAGGCGUAGUCGAUGGGAAACGGGUUAAUAUUCCCGUACUUGGUGUUACUGCGAAGGGGGGACGGAGAAGGCUAUGUUGGCCGGGCGACGGUUGUCCCGGUUUAAGCGUGUAGGUGUGUGUUCCAGGUAAAUCCGGUUCACUUUAACACUGAGGCGUGAUGACGAGGCACUACGGUGCUGAAGCAACAAAUGCCCUGCUUCCAGGAAAAGCCUCUAAGCAUCAGGUAACAUCAAAUCGUACCCCAAACCGACACAGGUGGUCAGGUAGAGAAUACCAAGGCGCUUGAGAGAACUCGGGUGAAGGAACUAGGCAAAAUGGUGCCGUAACUUCGGGAGAAGGCACGCUGACA